AUUCUACUUCCUUCGUCCAACAAAAGAUGUCUCAAGUUUGUCAAAAUUUAGAUGUAUCUAGACAUGACUUAGUGUAUAGGUGCAUUCAAAUUUGAUCAAAAUUGACACAUCCUUGGUUGGACGGAGGGAGUAGAUU
rfam:Brachypodium distachyon strain Bd21 chromosome 4, whole genome shotgun sequence.